rnacentral:lncRNA from 1 species
CACAGGAUAUUAGUGGAAAUAAUGCAGUGGUUGUCAGGAAACGCGAGUGCAGCCACAUGGCCACUGCCAGUUAUGCAGCGAGGAUAUCCGGUGGCUGCAAAGUCUGUAAUUUAGAAUAAAAAGAGCUCUCCCAAAACCCGAGAGGCAGACCUCAGCGCCGCGUGGCGGUAGUGCGCCCGGCACCCUCUGUGGACACUGUCCAGGUCCUGACAGGUGGGAGCCAAAAGCAUGUAUCUGCUGUGCCAUGGGGUUGGAGAGGGAUACGGGAUUACACAGCUGUCUUCUUAGAUAAAUCUGACCUACUUAGCCUCCUCUGGAGUUAUUUUUCAUGCUGACUCAUGGACAACAGGA